UACGAAGGGUGCAAGCGUUACUCGGAAUUACUGGGCGUAAAGGGUGCGUAGGUGGUCGUUUAAGUCCGUUGUGAAAUCCCCGAGCUCAACUUGGGAAUUGCAGUGGAUACUGGCAAGCUGGAGUAUGGUAGAGGAAGGUGGAAUUCCCGGUGUAGCAGUGAAAUGCGUAGAGAUCGGGAGGAACACCAGUGGCGAAGGCGGCCUUCUGGACCAAUACUGACGCUCAUGCACGAAAGCGUGGGGAGCAAACAGG
rnacentral:rRNA from 1 species